UACGGGGGGGGCGAGCGUUGUUCGGAAUUACUGGGCGUAAAGGGUUUGUAGGUGGUCUGCUAAGUCAGACGUGAAAUCCCUCAGCUUAACUGGGGAACUGCGUCUGAUACUGGCGGACUUGAGGACAGGAGAGGAACGCGGAAUUCCAGGUGUAGCGGUGAAAUGCGUAGAUAUCGGGAGGAACACCAGUGGCGAAGGCGGCUUCCUGGCCUGUUCUUGACGCUGAGGCGCGAAAGCUAGGGGAGCAAACGGG
rnacentral:rRNA from 1 species